GUAAUCCCAGAUCAGUAGCCGUUAGUGCAGACUGCGUGGGGAGGUUAGUGAGGAAGCAAACAUGCAGUGUUGAAUAUGAGUGAAUCAACCCUAACUGACUCUGGGAACAAGGUCACAUUUUAGAGCUACCCUUACCUGACAGCAUGCUGAAGUUAAAACUGCACCAAUGAAGUGAAUGAAUUGGUCAAAGGGUGAAAAUGAAGACAAACCAAAGAGCAGGAGGACCUUUCCAAACCUGGAUUAGUUUGUGACUGGCUGCUCAUUCUGACUCUGAUGGUAUUACAACCACAUGAGGCGAUCAAAGCGGAGCCAAGCUGCAAGACGAUAUCGGUGUGGGCGAGAAGUUGGCAACUAUCACUAACGAAUCUGUCUUGGGGCACUCCAGGCAGUCAACUCCGCCCACUCACUAUUUAAACCCACAAUGUCACCCGGCGCUCAGCUUCACACUGGAGAACUUGAUCUUGACCAACACGUUUGGAUUCAUGGGAAAAACUUCCAGCUAAACUCAGACACCGAGCUGUGAUCACCUACAAGGUUUCAUCUCCAAUCUACCAAGCUUGGAUAUUUGGACCCAGCAUUUUUAAGAGUAAUUUAUUUAUUUAUUUAUCUUCUUCCCACUCUCUGGGAUUUAAACUUCGCCCAGUCCCGGAGGUUGCCCCCUCCUUUCCAGAGAGAGGGUGUAGAGUUGAAGUUGGCCCGGA